GUGCUUGCUUUGGCAGCACAUAUACUAAAGGUGGAAUGAUACAGAGAAGAUUAACAUGGCCCCUAUGCAAAGGAAGCCAUGCAAAUUUGUGAAGUGUUCCAUAUUUUU